rnacentral:rRNA from 1 species
AACGAACGCUGGCGGCGUGGAUAAGACAUGCAAGUCGGACGAGAUUUUUCGUUGUAGCAAUACGAUGGAAAAUUUAGUGGCGAACGGGUGCUUAACACGUGGGCAACCUGCCAGGAAGUGGGGGACAGCUCGCCGAAAGGCGGAUUAAUACCGCAUGUGAUUAGAGAGGACAUCCUUUCGAAAUUAAAGUCGGGGCAACCUGACGCUUCUUGUGGGGCCCGCGGCCUAUCAGCUAGUUGGUGAGGUAAAGGCUCACCAAGGCUUUGACGGGUAGCUGGUCUGAGAGGACGACCAGCCACACUGGGACUGAGACACGGCCCAGACACCUACGGGUGGCAGCAGUCGAGAAUUUUUGACAAUGGGGGAAACCCUGAUCGAGCGACGCCGCGUGGAGGAUGAAGGUCUUCGGAUUGUAAACUCCUGUCAUUGGGGAACAAUGCACAGAUAUUAACUGUAUUUGUGUUGAUAGUACCCGAAGAGGAAGAGACGGCUAACUCUGUGCCAGCAGCCGCCGCCG